GACGAACGCUGGCGGCGUGCUUAACACAUGCAAGUCGAACGAUGAAGCCCUUUCGGGGGUGGAUUAGUGGCGAACGGGUGAGUAACACGUGGGUAACCUGCCCUGUACCCUGGGAUAAGCCUUGGAAACGAGGUCUAAUACCGGAUAUGACCUGCUCUCGCAUGGGGGUGGGUGGAAAGUUUUGGCGGUGCAGGAUGGACCCGCGGCCUAUCAGCUUGUUGGUGGGGUGAUGGCCUACCAAGGCGACGACGGGUAGCCGGCCUGAGAGGGCGACCGGCCACACUGGGACUGAGACACGGCCCAGACUCCUACGGGAGGCAGCAGUGGGGAAUAUUGCACAAUGGGCGAAAGCCUGAUGCAGCGACGCCGNGUGA
rnacentral:rRNA from 1 species